rnacentral:rRNA from 1 species
UACGUAGGGUGCAAGCGUUAAUCGGAAUUCCUGGGCGUAAGGCGUGCGCAGGCGGUUUUGUAAGACAGUGGUGAAAUCCCCGGGCUCACCCUGGGAACUGCCAUUGUGACUGCAAAGCUAGAGUGCGGCAGAGGGGGAUGGAAUUCCGCGUGUAGCAGUGAAAUGCGUAGAUAUGCGGAGGAACACCGAUGGCGAAGGCAAUCCCCUGGGCCUGCACUGACGCUCAUGCACGAAAGCGUGGGGAGCAAACAGG